UGGCGGACGGGUGAGUAACGCGUGGGUAACCUGCCUCAUACAGGGGGAUAACAGUUAGAAAUGACUGCUAAUACCGCAUAAGACCACGGAGCCGCGUGGCUCAGUGGGAAAAACUCCGGUGGUAUGAGAUGGACCCGCGUCUGAUUAGGUAGUUGGUGGGGUAACGGCCUACCAAGCCGACGAUCAGUAGCCGACCUGAGAGGGUGACCGGCCACAUUGGGACUGAGACACGGCCCAA
rnacentral:rRNA from 1 species